AUUGAACGCUGGCGGCAGGCCUAACACAUGCAAGUCGAGCGGCGCGGCGGACGGGUGAGUAAUGCCUAUGAAUCUGCCUGGUAGUUGGGGAUAACGUCCGGAAACGGGCGCUAAUACCGCAUACUAUCAGAUUAGCCUAGGUCGGUUUGGCUAGUUGGUGGGGUAAAGGCCUACCAAGGCGACGAUCCGUAACUGGUCUGAGAGGAUGAUCAGUCACACUGGAAGUGAGACACGGUCCAGAUUCCUAAGGUAGGGAGCAGUGGGGAAUAUUGGACAAUGGGCGAAAGUAUGAUACAGCCAUGCAGCGUGUGUGAAGAAGGUCUUCGGAUUGUAAAGCACUUUAAGUUGGGAGGCGGUACCAACAGAAGAAGCACCGGCUAACUUCGUGCCAGCAGCCGCGGUAAUUC
rnacentral:rRNA from 1 species